CAAUAGUGUAUACUAAAGUUGUUGCAGUUAAAAAGCUCGUAGUUGGAUUUCGGUUAACACAGCGACAGUCUACUUUUUUAUAAGUACGCACUGUCAAUGUGUUUCCUUCUUUUCAGAUAUACAACUUUGUUGUGUUCUGAAUCUUUUACUUUGAAAAAUUAGAGUGUUCAAAGCAGGCGUAUCUUUGCCUUUGAAUAUAUUAGCAUGGGAUAAUGAAAUAAGACUUUUUGCCUUAUUCUCGUUGGUUCAUUUGGCUAAAGUAAUGAUUAAUAGGGAUAGUUGGGGUUAUUAGUAUUUAAUUGUCAGAGGUGAAAUUCUAAAAUUAAUUAAAGACUAACUACUGCGAAAGCAUUUAACAAGGAUGUUUUCAUUAAUCAAGAACGAAAGUUGGGGAUCGAAGAUGAUCAGAUACCGU
rnacentral:rRNA from 1 species